UGACCACCAAAUCAUCUACCGUCGGGUGCUAUCACCACCGCGAAAUCGAGAUUUAGAGAGCGGAGAUCCGUCGUUGGCGAGCUUGCAAAUCGCGGUUACCUAGGUCUUGGCGUGGUGUUCUGGUGCGGUGGCAUGGUGCCUAGGAGCCUCGACUGCCAUCAAUUCCGCCGCUGGACCGUUGAAGCUUGGGCGAUUGCUCGCCGGACUUGGGAAUUGUCGUUGUGCCGUGCUGCGUCGGGGACCGAGCUCAUCUCAAUCAAAUCACCGGUAAGCGCUGAUCCCCUAUGUUCACCUAAGACUCCGUUAGGUGUAGGUCCGCGCUGGUCAUGUAUAGGUCGUCAGUGGGCCGGUUGUGUGUGCGCCGACUAUGGCGUCAUCGCGAGCGCAGGGUGCGCCAUGGGUAGGCCUGCUCACGCUAAUCUAAUGCAGGUGGGCGGUCAACCUGUUUGCGAUGGUUGGAGCAUCAUUUGUGCGUAGUCGGAUUUGGGCCGUUUUCUCCGUCAUCGUCGACGACGCCGUCGGGGUGAUGCCUCGCACCGCCGUGCUAGUAGCUGAGGAGGAAGAGGGAGUCCUGACCAUGGAUCAUCUUGUGGAGGGCAGGGAUUAAUGGGUGGCGUGGUGCAUUGCGGGCCGUUGAUCCCCCUCUGGGUGGCUCAGAUUAGAAGGAUAGGUACCCCUCGCCACAUUCAGUCAACACCGGUGAUCUCGAUCCAACAGGUUGAAAUAGAUCUAGGGUAGAUAUUAUCCCCACCGAUGAUCUCUGUAACACCCUGAAAUCCUAUUCUAGGAUUUAGUAUAACUUUUCAAAUGAUCUAAACCAAGAUGUCUUUUAAUAGAAUAUUCUUACCUUUAAAAAAUAUUUUUUUCCUAUAACAAAUAAAUGGUAAUGUUAAUCUUUGAGUGUUCAAUUUUUUUGAAACUCAGAAAAUAAGUAAUGAAUUAAACCUUCAUUAAUUAUUGGUCUUUUUAUGAAUCGUGUAUUAUAGAAGCAAUUAUUUAAAUAAAAAAAAGUAAGUAAAUAAAACAUGUACUUACAUCACGUCGGGUCUUUGAGUUGUGCAUUUGGUGUGAAUUUAAAUAUUAAAACCCAGUUGAAUUUGAAAACUUUUAGUACGACACUGAACACAGGAAAUAAAGAAAAAUAGGAAUCUCUACUAACUAUUUUAAGGGCUCAGUGUAGACCGCCCCCGCCCCCGAAAACCACGCGCCCGCCUCCGCCUGCCCGUACGCCGGAAACCGCGGAGGCUGCACCGCGAACGCCGCGAACCGCCCAACAAACGCCCGCACGCCGCAAUCCCGCCACGGCCUAUGCAGCCGCCGCGACCUCCGCGAACCCCCCACGCAGCAAUCCCGCCGCGCCUACUAAAGCUGCAACCUCUGCGAAAGCCGCGAACGCCGCAAUCCCGCCGCGGCCUCUGCAGCCGCCGUGACCUCCGCGAACCGCCCGCCCGACCAUGCCAACAUCCUCAUCCGGUAGCCACCAACCAUAUCCCAUCGAAGGUUAUGCAUACCCCUGCCAUCUCCUCUUUCCCCUACAUUCCCACGCCCCCGUCGCUGGAGAGGAAAGCUUGCCCCUCUGUCGGAGAGGAAGUAAUUUUGUUGCGGUCGCCGGGGGCCUCGACCAAGGUAUGCCAUGCGUUCUCCUUCCAGAUUUGUUAAUCCUCCUCCCUAGAGCAGAUAAAUUCAUCUCAACAUAACAAUGGGGACGGGACCUUCUUUUGGAAAUAUACUUGGCUAGGGGAAAUUCCUUUAGAAAUUAAAUACCCAAGGUUCUAAUAUCUCUGCAAGGACAAGGAUAUUCUUGUCAUAGGGCUUCCUGAAAAUCUGAAAUGGUGUUGCGUCAUAUAUUUAAUUGUCUGACCAAAAAAACUUUGUGGUUCAUCCCUGGGAAGCAUACCUUGUUGUCUAUUUUCUCGCGUGUAGUAGCAGGAUGACUUGAUGCCAUGUCUUGAUUUGAGGGACUCUUAGCUUCCUUUCAUUGCUGGUUUGUACAUCUGACCGAUAUGAAAAUGGUGUAAGAGUGUUGGCGUGUGAGAAAUGUGUUUGAUCCUUGCAAAAUACAUGAUGGAUUCGAACGUGGUGGUACUUUAGAGAGUGGUUUUUUGUUUCUUAUUCUUCGAUACUGCAAUAUUCAGGAAUGGACACCAUUUACCCAACUAAUUAAUAAUAAAGCACCACAAUGCCACCAGGAUCACCGCCACUAGCCAUCUCAUGCAAGGUCAGAGAUUCAUGAUUUAGGUCAUAUAUCGUGAUAAGCUGCAACUUCUCAGAUAACCUUCGAAGAAUAUCUGCGUCAACACUCGCACUGCUGCUUGAAUUAUAGAGAGACAUCAGGUCAUUAAAAAGAUCAUCGUCACAUGAAUCCGAUCGUUCCUUAGCUCUUUUGAACUGAGUAUGCACCAAGUCAACCUGCAUAACAUUGAAGAUAUUAUGGUACACAAAAGAAGAAAAAACAUCAAAACAAUAGUAAUAUAAAAAACAAUAAUGAAAAUAGAAAUUUUGGAAUUUAGUAGUCUACCUGCUUGUUGGGACCAUGCUUCGUCGUCGAAGGUCCUGCAGAAAGAAACAGCUUCGGCUAAAGCUGCUUAUACGUGAUGCCGAAGCUACCACUCAUGAAGCUUCGGUGUUAUAACAUAUCCGAAGAUGAAGGAUCGAACCGACUUAAAGAUAGAAUGACCUUUUAGUUCAUAAGGGUCUGAGUCAUUGUUGUAAACUUUUAUAAGGGGCAUGAUUGUAAUUCCUUACAGACUGUGUCCUAUGCCUAUAAAUAGUGAACAAUAUUCCUUUACUGUUCAUGCAAUCCUGUAACUGCUAACGCAUUACUCUGGAAUUAUUGCUCUUUGUCAAGGCAAAGGUAUAAAUGUAAUCAAACAUCAUGUUUUAAUAUCUCAGUUUAUAUUGUAAAAUGAGUAAAUGAUGUUAUCCAUUCUUAAUAUUCUUUAACGUUUUAUACUUCAUAUUUUAUUUCGCAUUAUUUUACUUCUGACUAUGAAGGUAAGACCUUCGUAGUUCAUCAUCUAUGACCUUCGUCUGAAGCUCAUUAAAUCCUCAGGGAAAUAAUGCUUCAGCGGACGAAGGGCUUUGAUAUUUAACAUUUUAUGUUGCCUUGUUCUUAAUUCAUAGCAUUUGAGAACAAGUCCCCAACAUUGGCGCCCACCUCCGGUGAACUCACUUCCACUUUUUUGAGCUGAUAGCUUCGGCAAAGAAUCAAGAUGGAACUGCUUCGGCUCCGAAGCUGAUUCUCCCGAUAACAGGCGGUUCAUGCUCAGAGCCGACCAACAAGAAACAGAAGGAGGCACAGAGAAGAGUACAACACGUAGGGGUACAAGGACACUUCAUCAAAUCAAGAUGGUCUCACAUCCCAAUUACCUUUUCUCAAGAGGAUCUUCAGCUCAAGGAUUACCCACACAAUGAUGCUAUAAUUAUCUCUUGUGUGAUCAAAGGAUUUCUGGUCCAUAAUGUUUUGGUUGAUACAGGCAGUGCAGCUGAUAUCAUAUUUGCUAAGGCCUUCAGACAGAUGCAAGAGCCCGAAGACAAGAUCCAUGAUGCCACACAUCCCCUUUGUGGCUUCGGAGGAAGGCAAAUUGUAGCACUCGGAAAAAUCACAAUGCCAGUAACCUUCGGAUUUAUCAACAACACAAGGACUGAACAAGUUGUGUUCGAUAUUGUUGACAUGGAAUACGCUUACAAUGCAAUCAUUGGUCGUGGUACUCUCAAUGCCUUCGAAGCAAUUCUUCAUCCAGCAUAUCUUUGCAUGAAGAUACCUUCGGACCAAGGACACAUUGCCGUUCAUGGAAGUCAGGAAGCUGCCAGAAGGGCCGAAGGAAACUGGACAGAAUCAAAAGCAAUCCAUAACAUAGAUGGAGCUGAAGCUUGUGAGCAGUACAAGUUUAGAAGGGAGAAAGCUGCUUCGGCCGAUGAGCCGAAGCCCAUGCUCUUAUGUGAGGACAUAGCAGAGCAGAAGGUGCUAUUGGGAUCCCAACUGUCCGAAAAACAGGAGAAAACCUUGAUAAGGUUUCUGUUCAACAACAAAGAUGUUUUUGCAUGGUCAGCUAAUGAUCUUUACGGAGUCAACAGGGAUGUUAUUGAACACUCGCUCAAUGUUGAUCCAUCCUUUAGACCCAGAAAGCAGAGGCUUCGGAAGAUGUCUGAUGACAAGGUCGAAGGUGCUCGGAAUGAAGUGAAAAGACUCCUCAGUGCCGGAGUUAUCAGAGAGGUAAAAUACCCAGAAUGGCUGGCUAACACUGUUAUGGUAAAAAAGGCCAAUGGUAAAUGGAGAAUGUGUAUUGAUUUUACUGAUCUCAACAAGGCCUGUCCGAAGGACGAGUUUUCAUUGCCAAGGAUAGAUUCUCUAGUUGAUGCAGCAGCUUCAUCAGAGCUUAUGAGUCUGCUGGAUUGUUAUUCAGGCUAUCAUCAAAUUUGGAUGAAGAAGGAGGAUGAGCCAAAAACCAGCUUCAUAACCCCUAGUGGAACAUAUUGUUACCUUCGGAUGCCUGAGGGGCUCAAGAAUGCUGGAGGAAGCUUCAGCAGAAUGACAACGAAUGUUCUUCAUUCUCAGAUAGGCAGAAAUGUGCUAACUUAUGUUGAUGAUAUCAUUGUAAAAAGCACGAAGCAAGAUAAUCACAUUGCUGAUCUGCAGGAGACCUUCGCUAAUUUUAGACAGGCCGGUUUAAAGUUGAAUCCAGAAAAAUGUGUCUUUGGAGUGAAGAAAGGGAAAUUUCUUGGCUGCCUAGUUUCAACAAAAGGGAUUGAGGCUAAUCCAAAUAAAAUCGAAGCUAUCCUUCGAAUGGAACCACCAAGUACAAAGAAGGGGGCUCAAAGAUUGACAGGAAGACUGGCAUCUCUCAACAGAUUUAUAUCUAGAUCAGCAGAGAGAAAUUUACCAUUUUUCGAAGUGCUGAAGUGAGCCGAAGUUUUUCAAUGGGGACCAGUCCAGCAGAGAGCCUUCGAAGAGCUGAAGCAAUAUUUGAUAGACCUAACAACACUAACUCCACCAACGCCAGGGGCUCCUCUGUUGUUAUAUGUGGCAGCUUCGCACUCAGCGGUAAGUGCAGCACUUGUCCAGGAGAAGCUUGAAGGCCAAGUCAAAAAGCAAGCCCCAAUAUACUUUGUAUCCGAAGUUCUUAGUUUAUCAAAGAAAAAUUAUACAGAAUUGGAGAAGGUGCUGUAUGCUGUUUUGAUGGCCUCCAGGAAGCUUCGGCACUAUUUUCAAGCAUACAAUAUAGUUGUUCUUUCUUCACAACCGUUGAAGGAUAUUAUGAGAAAUAGAGAAGCUACUGGAAGGGUUGGAAAAUGGGCUGCGGAACUCAAUGAGUUUUGUAUUGAUUAUGUACAUAGAUCUUCGAUUCAGUCCCAAGCAUUGGCAGACUUCAUUGCUGACUGGACGCCAGGGGCUCAGGAAGAAGAAACAAGUAAAGAUGCCGAUGUUUGGACAGUAUUUUGCGAUGGAUCUUGGGGAACCUUCGGAGCAGGAGCAACUGCUGUGUUGGUCGCACCUUCCAAAGUUAAAACUUGUUAUGCAACAAGACUUGAUUUCAGUUGCACAAAUAACAUUACUGAGUACGAAGCUUUGCUCUUGGGUCUUCGGAAGUUAAAGGCGAUGGGAAUCAGAAGGGCGAUUCUUAAAACUGAUUCCCAGGUUAUUUCUGGUCAUAUUGACAAAAGUUAUAAAGCAAGAGAUCCGAAGCUUGAAAAAUAUUUAGACACGGUCUGAAGGAUUGAGGCUUCCUUUGAAGGGUUUUCUGUUAAAAAUAUUCCUCGUGGAGAAAAUGAAUAUGCUGAUUUAUUGGCUAAGUCAGCAGCACAGGGGCUGCCCUUACCUUCGGAAGUAUUUUUCGAAACAAUAAAAGCACCUUCGGUUGAACUUUUUGAAAGAGCAGUCCUCAACAUAUCCCCUGUCUAUAGUGAAGACUAGAGAACUGAGAUCAUCUAUUUCCUUCAGGGUAACUUUCUUUCAGAUGACGAAGCUUAUAACAGGAGGAUAGAGGCAAGAGCUCGACCAUAUGUUAUAAUAGAAGGUGAACUAUACAAGCGUGGGGUCUGUUCUCCGUUACUCAAGUGUUUAUCCAGAGCCGAAGGUAUAUAAUUGAUGAAGGAAAUACACGCAGGCCUGUGUGGAUCUCACAUUGGAUCUAGGCCUUUGCUUGGAAAAGUUUUUCGUCAAGGAUUUUAUUGGCCAAAGGCAGCUUCGGAUGCAGCGGAAUUAGUCCAAAAGUGCGAAGGUUGUCAAAAUGUGCAAGAGAUAAAAACAAACUUCAUCUUUAACUCAGUUAAUACAACCCACUUGGCUGUUGCAAAGGUGGGGCCUUGAUUUGUUAGGUCUGUUACCACCAGCACAAGGGAACUUAAGAUAUGUUGUAGUGGCAGUGGAAUAUUUUUCUAAAUGGAUUAAGGCAAAGCCUUUAGCCACAAUAACUUCGGUCACUAUUCAAAAGUUUUUCUGGCAAAAUAUUGUUUGUCGCUUCGGAGUGCCGAAGGAUAUUACUGUGGAUAAUGGGACGCAGUUUGAUUCCGAAGCUUUUAGAGAAUUUUGCGAUCAAAUUGGCACGAAGAUCCAUUUCGCAUCAGUUCGACAUCCGGAGUCAAAUGGACUUGUUGAAAGAGCUAAUGGCAUCAUAAUGACAGGAAUAAUGAAGUUAAUCUUCAAUCAGCCCAGGGGAAAGUGGCCAGACGAAUUAAUCAAAGUGGUGUGGAGCCACAACACAACAAUAUCAAGAUCAACAGGCUUUACACCAUUCAAACUAUUGUUUGGUGACGAAGCAAUAACUCCGGAAGAAGCCAAAGAAGGAUCAAUAAGAAUAGUAGCUUCGGCAGAAGACGAAGCUGAAGCUGAUUACUCUGUGGAAAAAGAUGCUAUAGAGGGGAUCAGGCUUCAAGCUGUGGAAAACAUCAACAAAUACCAAGCUGAAACAAUAAAAUGGCGUGAUAGAAAGGUUAGGCUAAAAAACAUUGAACCAGGACAUUUGGUGCUUCGAAGAGUAGCCAACCCAGAGACAGUAGGCAAAUCACAGCUGAAGUGGGAAGGACCUUUUCUGGUAGUAUCUUCGUCAAGACCCGGUUCCUACAGAUUGAAGGAUAUGGACGGCAACGAAAUUCCUAGAUCAUGGAAUGCGGACGAGCUUCGGCGAUAUUAUGUUUAGCUUGAUGUAGUUUUUUCUAUUCUUUCUUGUGGCACCCUUUUCCUUUCCAAAGGGGGAGAAAGGUUUUUAAUGGGGCCACAACAUGUAAUUUUUCUUUUCCUUAUUUAAAUUUUAUAAGAGCGAUAUCCCCCAAAGAUGUAAAUGUAAAAGCUGAGAACGCACCAUCGAGUGCAAAGGAAAGAGAAAAGAAAACAGGGAGAAGCUCAAAAGUCGUUCCUAAGGGAAUGCAGAGCUUACAGCGAAAAAUGAACGCUGAUUCCGCCGAAAGUAAAAGGCGAAGAAGCUCCUAAGGGAGGCUUACAGCGAAAAAUAAACGCUGAUUCCACCGAAAGUAAAAGGCGAAGAAGCUCCUAAGGGAGGCUUACAGCGAAAAGUCAGCGCUGAUACACCAAAAAGUAAACGGUGAAGCCAAAAAAUAAACGACAAAAAGAUUUGAGUCAUUCCCAAGGGAAUGAAGGCUAUGAUUAUGGUUUUGAAUAUACAUUCGGAUAUUCAUUUGCACGAUACAUUACAUCAUGACAUUUGCAUUCAUAAACAUUCAUUUAGACAUAUAUAUGAUCAUUAUCAUCAUACCACACAAAAAAGGCAGAUGCUUCGGCUAUGAGGAAAAAACUUCGGAGAAAGAGGAAAUUUUCAUGCUUCGUUGUGUACGAAAAGAAGGGAAGGUGUUUUUCGCCUUCGACUCAAAAGUGAAAUUUCGUUCACAGCAAAGCAGAUCGUACACGGAUAAAGGAGAAAAGAUAUAUUACAAGGUAUGCACAAAUUUACAUAAGUUUUUUCUACAAUUAUAUUACAAAGAUUUCUCCAGAAUUUUUUUGUAGAAAAGUCUUUUACAGCAACUGGCUUCAGCCCGUCAUUCUUCAGCUUCAUCAUCCUGUACAUAUUGAAAAAGAAUGAGAAAGGUGCAAAUUUCAAGGAGAAGGUAAAAGUAACAAGUAUAAGUUUCUCACCGGCUUAAGGUGGCUCCGAGCUUCGUCACCAGCCAUUUUUCGCCCGCCGUUUACCUAAAUCUGGGUCAUAAAUCUGUUUCCUAUGCUUCAGGCUAGGCUUGGGAUGUCAACCGACAAGCUGAAGUUUGGCCUAUUUACAAUCUUCCCAUGCGUGCAGCCGGCCUUCAGGAAAGUGGUAGCCGUGCCUCGAGAAGCUAACAGGGCGCAGAAAUCAGCAUGCCCAACAAUAACUUCGUCAAGUGCAUCAACCUCGCCUUCAAUGUAUUCCUAGGUGCUGGGCAGGUUUUCAGCCGAAGGUGUAAACUUAUCAGAGCUGGCUCCAAUUGAGUGAAACACAUCCUUCAGCCGCUGCACACAUCGGUUGUCGAAAUUUAAGCAUUUCUCCUGAAGCUCCUUCAAUGAUUGUUGCAAAUUUGAAUUCUUCUCGAUCUCGGUCUUGAGACUUGUUUCGAGGUUCUUCUUUUCCUGCUCAGAUUUUUCUGACUUUUUGAGUAAUUCACUGUUUAAUCUGUCAUUUUCGGCUUGGACCUCAGCCAGUGAACCUUCCAUAGAAUGAAUAACGAAGUCUUUCUUUUCUAAGGCAGCUUCGUGUUCUUUAACUAUGAUUUCAAGGUCUUGAAUGACGAAGUCCUUUUUCUUCAGAGCAGCUUCGUAAUUUUCGACUUUGUCUUCUAGAUCUUUGAUGAUAGCUUUGUUUUUUUCCUCUUCAAGAUCUUGUUGCAUUCUCAGCACUUUACUUAGUAGUAUACUCUGCCAAAACAACCUUCAUAAAAAAACAACUUAAUUUUUUUUAAAAAGAUAAUAAUAAUAAAUUGAGAGUUUUUUACCUUGAAAUUAGCAUAGAGCAAGCUACCGACGAUAUGCUGUCGCUGGUACCUGCAGAGGUCUGCUUCUAUCUUCGGCAGGCCAACGCUUUUGGAGAAGGUCCUAACAACCUUGGCCUCGGUUCGAUUCCGAAGGCAUCUUAGCUUUCCUUCAUUUACCCCACCAAAUAGCAGAGACCCUGGUUUGUAUCCACAGGAUAUAGCAUAUUUCUUUAGCUCUUCUUUUUCAGCGUCUGUUAACUCUUGUCUAAGUAUAUCUUGAAAAUUAAAAUUUUCUUCUUCCAAAAUGUCUUCAAUCUGCUCUUUUCCUUUUUCAGUUGUCGUGUUCACCGCAACCACAACAACUUCUUCAGCCAUUCUCAAAAGUAUAUUGUCAAUAUCAUCAAGCGUGGUUUCCAGGUUAGGAUCUUCGGUGGUCCCGGUUUCGGCUCCGGUAGCUUCGGCCCCGGUGGCUUCGGCUCCGGUAGCUUCGGCUCCGGCGGUUUCGGCUCCAGUGGUUUCGGCUCCGGUGGUUUCGGCAACAACAAUUUUUGACGCCGAUAUCGGUGGCGGUGUCUGAUGAAUGACAUCUGCCACUUGGAUAAUUCUUCGUUUUUUCGGCUUUACGGGACUUUCUGCUGCCGAAGCUUCUUUGUCCUUCUGAAAAAACUUCGUCAGUUCUGGCGCCAGCGGACUUAGCUUGACAGGCAAAGGUUCAGUCAUUACCUUCAGAAUCUCUUCCACUUCGGCAGCAGAAGGUGUUGCAGGAGCUUCCUCCUCUCGGACCGAUGUCUUUGGUUUUGGAGAUGCAGGUUUUGGAGAUACAGCUUUUCUUUUCCUUGGAGCAGCUACCUUCGGCUCAGGGCUGAGUUUUUCAGAAAUUUCUUUUUCCUUUUUAGCCAAUUUGGUGCUUUCUUUGUCAAGGGCGCUGGCAAUUCUUUUUCUCUUUAAACCUUCGGCAUCUCCGCCCAGUUGCUCAUAAUCAGGAUAGUCAAAAUUCAAGGCAUCUAGCACCCGAUUCAAUCUUUGUUUCGGACGACUGCCGAAGGCUGCUGUCAUCAACUGAUCUUCUUUCUUAGAAUAAUUACCGAGGAUAUCGUUGCACAUAAUCUCGAUUGUGUCCAACCAUUCCUGGCAGGGUUUUUUAAAGUGUUUCUUAAACUUGUAGUAAUAAGGCAAUCGAACAAGUUCUCCCUUUUUCUUUUCUCCCUCCAGCUUCGGCAUCUCCCACUCCCUCAUUGUUGGGAACACUUUAAAAGCCAGAAAUUCCUGCACUAAGUCUCUAGUGCCAAUAUGUUCUGAAAUUACUCGAAAUUCACCCAAAGCAAUCUGGCUCGGGCUCCCCCUUAUCAUGUUGCAUUGGGGCCUCGUCUCUCCGAAGGUUAGCUCUAGCGGACUCUGGACCAAUUUAUCUUCAUCCUUAACAACUUUAACAUAAAACCAUUCAGACUUCCAUCCGACCGGCCAUUUGCUUCGGUAGCUUAUCACUGGAAACUUCGUAGUCUUGCGAUAAGCAAAGUUGUAGCAGCCAAAAUUCUCAUGUAGACCAUCUCCUCUGGCUUUAGUCUCGUAAUGUAAUUCAUGAACUCGGCAGAAACCCUCACCGAACGGUUCCACUCCCUGGCUACGAAGAGCCCAAAUGUAAACACUUAAUCUAACAAUAGCAUUGGGGGUCAGUUGAUGAAGGUAAAUCCCAAACUUCUUCAGUACAAUAGCAAUCAUCCCAUUUAGGGGGAACCUUAGGCCAGCUUUAAAGAAGCUUUUGAACACUACAACCUCAUUCUUUUCCGGCUUCGGAAUAGUUCCCUCUCCGCCAAAACGAACCAGCUCCUUUUUUGCUUCACUGAAGUAGCCCAGCUUCACCAUUUUUGGAAGAUCAGCUUCAGAGAUGGUGGACUUUCCAAAGUCCAAAUGACUAGGUUUACUUGGCAUCCCGCAGAUGUACUCAUCUUCGGAACCAACUUCUUCAACAUCAGCUUGUGUUGCUUCGGCAGCAGGUGUGUCCUCUGAUGAAACCAGCCCAGAGCGCCUCAUUGCUUCGGAAAUCGGAACAGUGUUAGCGGCUUCGGUCUCAUCUCCAUCACGCUCAACCCUAGCAGUGGAGCGUAUUCUGGCCAUUUGAUUUUAAAUUUUCUUGAAAAUUCCUUGGAAGUUAAUAACCUUUUUUCCGAAGCUCUUCUCGUGACGAAGCACAAUCCAAACUGGAGCUUCGUUUGAAUGCAAAAGUCAAGCUUCGGCUAUGGUUAAAUUUUUGGCAGCGAAACAGUGCAAUAGCAAUGAAUGCUGUGGUAACUUCACACCUACCUGUCUGUUUAUAUAGUGCUGCAGGU
rnacentral:lncRNA from 1 species